AUGAACUCCUCUCUGGACUUUCUAAUUCUGAUCUUAAUGUUUGGAGGAACCAGCAGCAAUUCAGUCAAGCAGACGGGCCAAAUAACCGUCUCGGAGGGAGCAUCUGUGACUAUGAACUGCACAUACACAUCCACGGGGUACCCUACCCUUUUCUGGUAUGUGGAAUACCCCAGCAAACCUCUGCAGCUUCUUCAGAGAGAGACAAUGGAAAACAGCAAAAACUUCGGAGGCGGAAAUAUUAAAGACAAAAACUCCCCCAUUGUGAAAUAUUCAGUCCAGGUAUCAGACUCAGCCGUGUACUACUGUCUUCUGGGAGA